AGAGUUUGAUCAUGGCUCAGGAUAAACGCUGGCGGCGUGCCUAACACAUGCAAGUCGAACGCCCUGCUCACGCAGGGAGUGGCGGACGGGUGAGGAACACGUGAGUACCUACCCUUCAGUGAGGAAUACCGGCGAGAAAUCGCCGACAAGACCGCAUACGCUUGGAAACAAGCAAAGCUCGCAAGAGCGCUGGGGGAUGG
rnacentral:rRNA from 1 species